CCAGGAGCGCGCCAGACCGGGCCUGGCACCCACCUGCCUGGGCAGAGGCUGCGGGACGGUGUGUGGGGGUCAGGGAGCCCCAGCUGUGCGGAUCCCAGGGGUGCCCUGGACAAAGCCGGUGCUGCCACUGCUCAUGUCAAUCUAAGUACAUGUAGGCCCGUGCGAAUCGAAACGGGGACACCGAAAGCGGAUCCCGCGGCGCCGGCGGACCUGGGCACGGACCGCGGGUCGCUUCUGUGGCAACCUUUGUGUAACUCGAUGAGAUGAAAGGAAGGGGCCAGAGCUAUCACACAGUCACUCCAGCAAGGGGCCCGGAAGCCUCCUGUUUGUCUGUCUCGUUCACGCAGCUGUUCCCAGAGUCACAUACCAGACCGACUGCUCUGUGAAAGUGAAGGAGCGGGAGCCCGGCUUGGGCCAUGAACACCCAGUCUCACUGCAAAUUUGGUGCUUGUGGCAGAAGAGAGACUGACAACCCAGGUCUAUUCGUCUUCAGGGCAGGCACGACACUUGCAGCACCAACGCCUGCUGCCUUCCUACCAGACCACCAGCAUGCCUUGGCCAUGACCAGAGGGCAAGGGAGAAUACAGCCUCUAGAGCUGGUUUGCUCCUCAACCCCUUUGCUGAGGCAGCCAAGGGAUAUCAGCUGAACUAGGCUGAGAUCCCCAUCUCAUUCUGCAUGGGCCAUUAAAGUGCCAACAGAUGUUAAUGACUUUCGGUCACCAGCUGAGCUAGUUUUGAACCAGUGCCCUGGAGCUGAAAGGCCCCCAACCCCAGAACUUCAAUAUAUAUAUAUAUAUAUAAACUUAAAAAACAUGACAGGUCAGCAGAGCGCCUCUCCCUUGGGGCACAGACCUGGUGAAG